UGGGGAAUAUUGGACAAUGGGCGCAAGCCUGAUCCAGCCAUGCCGCGUGAGUGAAGAAGGCCCUAGGGUUGUAAAGCUCUUUCACCGGUGAAGAUAAUGACGGUAACCGGAGAAGAAGCCCCGGCUAACUUCGUGCCAGCAGCCGCGGUAAUACGAAGGGGGCUAGCGUUGUUCGGAUUUACUGGGCGUAAAGCGCACGUAGGCGGACUUUUAAGUCAGGGGUGAAAUCCCGGGGCUCAACCCCGGAACUGCCUUUGAUACUGGAAGUCUUGAGUAUGGUAGAGGAGAGUGGAAUUCCGAGUGUAGAGGUGAAAUUCGUAGAUAUUCGGAGGAACACCAGUGGCGAAGGCGGCUCACUGGACCAAUACUGACGCUGAGGUGCGAAAGCGUGGGGAGCAAACAGG
rnacentral:rRNA from 1 species